ensembl:lncRNA
CAGGAAGUGAUUUUUCUCCAUAAAAAUCACUAGGAGAAACUCAAAAUGGCUAUGUUUUGCACUGUUUAUGGAUGCUCAAAUCGGUCAAACCGAGAAAAAACAAAGAGUUUUUAUCGUGUAACAAAAGUUGUUUCUCAUACGGGGGGGAAUUUCAAGGAAUUGACUGAAAAAUGUAGGAAAAAAUUGUUUGAAAACCUUCAUCUUCUCUUCGGUUGGGAGGAGCCGAGUCAGCUAAUUUAAUGCUUGUGUGUGCAGUGACCAGUUUGUCAGAGGCUGCCCUAGUGCUUUAAAUGAUGUUGAGUCUGUAGACUGGGCUCCUACACCUCGGUUAUCAAAAAUGUAGGCCCACGCCAGAAGCAUUGCGUAAACGAACAGAGAGGUCGAUCAACAUAGACACGCAGAAGCUGCAGAGGCCUUGCUGGAUCUCCGUGAGUCAGCUGAGGACACAUAGCAAGAGGACAACACAGAGAUGUUACCUGAUCAACAAGAUGCAGAAUGCCAGACAGACCUAACCAUGGAUGGCAUUGAGAGGAUGAAAGAUGUUCUCAAACACACCACAACACCACACUGGGUGAUCUUAGAACUAAAGCACUUGACAUCCAAUUCAGCCAAGAGUCUUUUCAGAAGAACGAAGACUUGACAAAGUUUUACACUGGACUCCCUAACUUUUUGGUUUUAAUGCAGAUUUUUCAGCUGUGUGAGCCUUAUAUCACCUGUGGAUAUUUGUCUGUGCUUUCUAAAUUUGAACAGUUAAUUGUAAUUUUGAUGAGAUUGAGACUAAACCUUCCUCUGAAAGAUUUGGCUUUCAUGUUCAAUGUCUCUUACUCCACUGUUUCCAGAAUUUGGCACAAGUUAAUUGGCAUACUUCAUGAGAGAUUGGAGUUUUUAAUUGAGUUGCCAGAGUGACAUGUACUUCAAGCCACAAUGCCAGUGCCAUUCAGGCAAGCGUUUGGAUGUAGAGUUUUGAAUAUAAAUGUCAUGAUUUGAAAUGGUCAUUAAAUGAAUAAACUUUGGAUGUUAAUGAUAAAUGAUAUAUAAUACUUUGGUAGACUACAUGAUAGCAUAACAGUACACUGUGUUUUUAGUGAAUUUUGUAUAUAACCUAAGGGCUAAAUUCAAUCAAAAGCUACUGUGGUGUCAUGUAAAGUUCCCCACAAACAAAUAAAUACCAAAUUAGCUGUAAUAAGUUGGGUUAGUUGAUGAAGGACAAUUGAUCUAGCCUCAGUGGACAAAUAUAUAUAGCAGAACAGUGCUCUGCCAUGUGCCACAGUAGCUUUUUUUGAAUUUACCUUCAGACAUAUUAAAUUCAGUAUAAUUUACAAAGUGCACACUGUUUUAGUUCUUUUAAGUAACCACCAAUACUUUUUUGUUGUAGAAUUUAAUCUUUUUUUUAUUUAAUCUCCUCAGCAAACAUCUGCUUGCCAACAAAGAUACAUUCAUGUUAUUCAGUGUUUUUCUUUUGCAAAAUAUGACUGAAUCAAGUGCCUGAGCUGAUGUAAGGUAGUGUCCUUUAAUAAUAUUACAUGUCAAUAUGUUGUUUUGUAACUUUCUGUCCCAACACUUCAGGAAGUAUACAGUUUCUGAAAAAAAUCUCAACUCUGGCAAUCACAUCAUCCCAAAAGCCCAUGUCAGGUAUAAUCCUUUCCAAAAAAAAAUGUCAUUAGAGUUCCACAGUAGAAAAUUGCACAAUGUGAAGCUGUGCCUGGACUUGGUAGUAGUAAGCAUGGCUCCAGUCCAGUGUUAUCUCAUCCCCAUCUUUGAUAAAACAGAAU